GCCUAGAACUGAAUUGUAAAGCAGAUGACCUGGACUACAGCUCAGAACAAUUGCAUACACCACUUUGGGAAUUUGGCUACCAUCACUUCUGAAGAGGAAAACAACAAAGCUGUGGCGGUUACAGGACAAAACCUAUCUUGGAAUGGGCUGAUCAGAACUGCACCAUAUGUAAACAACUGGACAUGGACUGAUGGAGAUAAAACAAAUUUCACAAAGUGGUACCUUGGCAGGCCCAAUGGAGUUUCAUAUUGGUGAAUGAGAAAAAAACCUGGGAGAUGGCUCUUCAGCAUUGCAGGACUCAAUACACUGGCUUGGCUUUUAUGGAUUCGGAUAGAUCGCUUCAAUAUUAUCAGACACUGCUUAAAACAGAGACUCAAUCAGCAACUGUGUGGACAGGAAUGCGUUUCCUUGAUGGAAAAUGGUUCUGGGUGAACGGGAUGCUGCUGGGGAGCAAUGUACCUCUACCUCAAUGCCCAAUUCUGCCAUAUAGGUGUGGUGCCUUCAACUUCAACACAUCAGUCUGGGAGAACAGAGACUGCAAUGAGGAGCUCAAUUUCCUAUGCUAUCACUGAAGAGAUAACUCUCU